CUGUCUAUCUGUCCUUUUAUGAAUACACACACACACAUCAUCAUCAUCAUCAUCAUCAUCAUCAUCAUCAUCAUUUAACGUCUGUGUUCCAUGCUAGCAUAGGUGGGAUGCUACAAGAGCUGGUCAUGCCAAAGUCUGCACCAGAUUUGUGACUGUUAUGGUAGGAUUUUUACAGCUGGAUGCGUUUCUGAAUGCCAACCACUUUACAGUGUGGACUGGAUGCUUUUAAGUGGCAACUGCACUGACAGGGUCACCAAGUACAUGCAAGACAAAAACUUUUAAGAAGGGAGGAAGCAUUGGAGGAGGUGAUGAUGAAAAGGUUAUAGUAAGACAGAUAUAGGUGUUUUGCUGAAGAGGAAGCAUUGGAGAAGGUG